GGCCUAACACAUGCAAGUCGAGCGGCAGCGGGAAAGUAGCUUGCUAUUUUUGCCGGCGAGCGGCGGACGGGUGAGUAAUGCCUGGGGAUCUGCCCAGUCGAGGGGGAUAACAGUUGGAAACGACUGCUAAUACCGCAUACGCCCUACGGGGGAAAGGAGGGGACCUUCGGGCCUUUCGCGAUUGGAUGAACCCAGGUGGGAUUAGCUAGUUGGUGGGGUAAUGGCUCACCAAGGCGACGAUCCCUAGCUGGUCUGAGAGGAUGAUCAGCCACACUGGAACUGAGACACGGUCCAGACUCCUACGGGAGGCAGCAGUGGGGAAUAUUGCACAAUGGGGGAAACCCUGAUGCAGCCAUGCCGCGUGUGUGAAGAAGGCCUUCGGGUUGUAAAGCACUUUCAGCGAGGAGGAAAGGCUGAUGCCUAAUACGCAUCAGCUGUGACGUUACUCGC
rnacentral:rRNA from 1 species